rnacentral:misc_RNA from 1 species
GAUGAAGAACGCAGCGAAAUGCGAUACGUAAUGUGAAUUGCAGAGUUCAGUGAAUCAUCGAGUCUUUGAACGCACAUUGCGCCCCCUGGUAUUCCGGGGGGCAUGCCUGUCCGAGCGUCAUUGCUGCCCUCAAGCACGGCUUGUGUGUUGGGCCUCCGUCCUCCUCCCGGGGGACGGGCCCGAAAGGCAGCGGCGGCACCGCGUCCGGUCCUCGAGCGUAUGGGGCUUCGUCACCCGCUCUUGUAGGCCCGGUCGGCGCUUGCCGACACAUCAAUCUUUUUUCCAGGUUGACCUCGGAUCAGGUAGGGAUACCCGCUGAACUUAAGCAUAUCAAUAAGCGGAGGA